GACGAACGCUGGCGGCGUGCUUAACACAUGCAAGUCGAACGGAAAGGCCCUGCUUUUGUGGGGUGCUCGAGUGGCGAACGGGUGAGUAACACGUGAGUAACCUGCCCUUGACUUUGGGAUAACUUCAGGAAACUGGGGCUAAUACCGGAUAGGAGCUCCUGCUGCAUGGUGGGGGUUGGAAAGUUUCGGCGGUUGGGGAUGGACUCGCGGCUUAUCAGCUUGUUGGUGGGGGAGUGGCUUACCAAGGCUUUGACGGGUAGCCGGCCUGGGGGGGUGACCGGCCACAUUGGGACUGAGAUACGGCCCAGACUCCUACGGGAGGCAGCAGUGGGGAAUAUUGCACAAUGGGCGGAAGCCUGAUGCAGCAACGCCGCGUGCGGGAUGACGGCCUUCGGGUUGUAACCCGCUUUCGCCUGUGACGAAGCGUGAGUGACGGUAAUGGGUAAAGAAGCACCGGCUAACUACGUG
rnacentral:rRNA from 1 species